GGUUCGGAAUAACAGUUAGAAAUGACUGCUAAUGCCGGAUAAUGACGUAAGUCCAAAGAUUUAUCGCGAAGGAUGAGCCCGCGUAGGAUUAGGUAGUUGUGGGGGUAAUGGCCCACCAAGCCGACGAUCCUUAGCUGGUCUGAGAGGAUGAUCAGCCACACUGGGACUGAGACACGGCCCAGACUCCUACGGGAGGCAGCAGUAGGGAAUAUUGGACAAUGGGCGAAAGCCUGAUCCAGCAAUGCCGCGUGAGUGAUGAAGGCCUUAGGGUUGUAAAGCUCUUUUACCAGGGAUGAUAAUGACAGUACCUGGAGAAUAAGCUCCGGCUAACUCCGUG
rnacentral:rRNA from 1 species